UCCACCAAAUUCGGGGCUAUGCUGGAACUGGUAGACAAUACGGCCUUAGAUUCCGUAGCUUAAAUGCGUGGGAGU
rnacentral:tRNA from 1 species